UCCGUAGGUGAACCUGCGGAAGGAUCAUUACCGAGUGCGGGCCCUCUGGGUCCAACCUCCCAUCCGUGUCUAUCUGUACCCUGUUGCUUCGGCGUGGCCACGGCCCGCCGGAGACUAACAUUUGAACGCUGUCUGAAGUUUGCAGUCUGAGUUUUUAGUUAAACAAUCGUUAAAACUUUCAACAACGGAUCUCUUGGUUCCGGCAUCGAUGAAGAACGCAGCGAAAUGCGAUAAUUAAUGUGAAUUGCAGAAUUCAGUGAAUCAUCGAGUCUUUGAACGCACAUUGCGCCCCCUGGUAUUCCGGGGGGCAUGCCUGUCCGAGCGUCAUUGCUGCCCUCAAGCACGGCUUGUGUGUUGGGCUUCCGUCCCUGGCAACGGGGACGGGCCCAAAAGGCAGUGGCGGCACCAUGUCUGGUCCUCGAGCGUAUGGGGCUUUGUCACCCGCUCCCGUAGGUCCAGCUGGCAGCUAGCCUCGCAACCAAUCUUUUUAACCAGGUUGACCUCGGAUCAGGUAGGGAUACCCGCUGAACUUAAGCAUAUCAAUAAGCGGAGGAA
rnacentral:rRNA from 1 species